UACGUAGGGUGCAAGCGUUUGUCCGGAAUUAUUGGGCGUAAAGAGCUCGUAGGCGGUCUGUCGCGUCGGAUGUGAAAACCCAGGGCUCAACCCUGGGGCCUGCAUUCGAUACUGAUCGACUCGAAGGCAGGAGAGGGUAGUGGAAUUCCCGGUGUAGUGGUGAAAUGCGUAGAUAUCGGGAGGAACACCAGUGGCGAAGGCGACUACCUGGCCUGUUCUUGACGCUGAGGCGCGAAAGCUAGGGGGAGCAAACGGGG
rnacentral:rRNA from 1 species